AGCAGCCGCGGUAAUUCCAGCUCCAAUAGCGUAUAUUAAAGUUGUUGCAGUUAAAAAGCUCGUAGUUGAAUUUCGGGAUCAGUUGAUCGGUCGUGCCUCGGUACGUACUGGUCAAAUUGAUUCCUACCUUCUGACGAACCACGAUGUCAUUAAUUUGGUGUCGUGGGAAAUCAGGACUGUUACUUUGAAAAAAUUAGAGUGUUUAAAGCAGGCUCACGCUUGAAUACAUUAGCAUGGAAUAAUGAAAUAGGACGUUUGAUUCUAUUUUGUUGGUUUCUAGGAUCGACGUAAUGAUUAAUAGGGAUAGUUGGGGGCAUUAGUAUUCAAUUGUCAGAGGUGAAAUUCUUGGAUUUAUUGAAGACUAACUACUGCGAAAGCAUUUGCCAAGGAUGUUUUCAUUAAUCAAGAACGAAAGUUAGGGGAUCGAAGACGAUCAGAUACCGUCGUAGUCUUAACCAUAAACUAUGCCGACUAGGGAUCGGAUGAUGUUAAUUUUUUAAUGACUCAUUCGGCGCCUUAC
rnacentral:rRNA from 1 species